rnacentral:rRNA from 1 species
AUGAACGCUGGCGGCGUGCUUAACACAUGCAAGUCGAACGGAAAGGCCCAAGCUUGCUUGGGUACUCGAGUGGCGAACGGGUGAGUAACACGUGGGUGAUCUGCCCUGCACUUCGGGAUAAGCCUGGGAAACUGGGUCUAAUACCGGAUAGGACCACAUUUUGGAUGGUGUGGUGGAAAGUUUUUCGGUGUGGGAUGAGCUCGCGGCCUAUCAGCUCGUCGGUGGGGGAAUGGCCUACCAAGGCGCCGACGGGUAGCCGGCCUGAGAGGGUGUACGGCCACAUUGGGACUGAGAUACGGCCCAGACUCCUACGGGAGGCAGCAGUGGGGAAUAUUGCACAAUGGGCGGAAGCCUGAUGCAGCGACGCCGCGUGGGGGAUGACGGCCGUCGGGUUGUAAACGCCUUUCGCGAGGGACGAAGCGCAAGUGACGGUACCUGGAGAAGAAGCACGGGCUAACUACGUG